CUACCCCAGGUGCUGUUGUUGUGUCGAUUUUUGGCAAGGAAUAUGACCAAGCUCAUUUGUGUGUUCUUCAAAACACCAUUGAAUUCAGAAGCUAUUUUGUGGAACACAUGGAGUAUCUGAAGAGGGAGUUUCCAAACUACAAAAAGAAUGGAAAGUGGCUGGUUGAGAAACAAAACCAGACUUUUGCUGAUUGGGUGAAGGAGAGGGUUGCCUCUAUGCUUAAUGAACCUGAUUGUGACAUCCCCGAGAUUGUGAGGUGGCUAGCAGAUAAACCAGGGAAUGAAAUACCAAAGUUUAGUGGCUAAAGAAUAGGGGGAGUC